GGGCUGUAGGGAGCAGCUCUAUGGUCACUUCCUAGAGAUGAGUAGAGUCAGCUAUGUACAAGGAAGAGGUCUAGGGGGGGACAAUUGCCCAAGGGAUCCUGCUUUGGACUAUAGACUUUGGUAAGACUCCAAAAAGGGGAGAAGUAGCUACAGGGAGCAGAGGAUACCCCAGUAGUAACCAAGGAUAAGGGGCAGACGAUAGGGACGAAAGGUUGAAAGAGCCCAAUAUUGGAGCUUGAGCAGACUAUGGUUGCUGGGGAUAGGGUUCCUGUGCUGGAACCUGGAGUAGUGGGCAGGCCCGAGUUCUCCUACUGGGGAAAUAGUACAGCCUGGGCAGUGGAUCAGAAGGCAACCUGAGAGAGUUUGUUCAGAGGGACUUGGACUUUGUUACUGCAGAAGGGGAGGAUUAUAGUGACCUGGCUGGAGGGCCAACCCAGGAAGAGGGUGCAAUGGAGUCCUGAGAAAGAGAGGGACCACAGGGUGGACAACCAAAGGUGCCAGACCGGUCAAGAGCUAAUCCCCAGCAGAGGUCUUCCAUUUGCAAGAGGAAUAAGAAAACAGCAUUUGGCUUGGAAAAAAGAUGCCCUUUGACUCCACUCCUUUUCUUCUGCUUUCAAGAAGUUAAGCUGUUAUGUGACACACAUGCUGCUUGGGAUGCUUGAUGUAGUAACCACCUCCAUGCUGCACACAAAAUAAGUUGCAGGAUUGGGAUCUAAGAAUGGAGUUGAAAUAAAGAACCGUCAGUAUCAUGUGGGUAUCAGGAAGUCUGCACAACUGCUCCACUCCUCUUCUCUGUAGAAGCAUCAAAUGCAUAUUUAUGAAACAAGCCAUAUGUUUAUUUGAGGAAAGACCUUAAGGAUGGGACUUUGAAAAGUGCUCAUCAUUGACCCGAUUCUGCUCCCACUGAAGUCAACGGUGAAACUUACAUUGAGGACAAUGGAAUUACAGCUAAGCCAGAGCUGACCAUUUUUGAAAAUUCCAUCCUAAAACAAAUCUAGCAGAUUGUUUUAUUAAUCUAUGUUUAAAUAUAAAAAUUAAAACAAUGAGAUUGAAUAAUGCUGUUGCAAGAUUUACUGUACAGAGGUCAGUGGCCUGUAACCUCCAGAGGGAGUAUAUGUAACACUUACAAUAACCUUCUGGCCUUUCCGUAGCUGGAUUCUGUAAUUAAAGAGAAAUAACAUUUACACUUCAAGUUUUCCUUCAGAUCAGUGAGAAUGUCAGUCUAUCCCAGUGUUCCCCUACAGUAAUUUGGUCGACAUAAUUUUAUCACUCUAAGGCCAGAUAAUAUCCUAGAGCUACAAACAGAGUUUUAUUUGUAGGUCUGUUAGAUAAGAGCCUUGUCCUUACUGAUUUAUCUCAUAUAAUAUACCCCAUAAUGCAAUUGUACAGAAUUUAUGUUAAUUCUGGCCCCACGGGAUCUAUGGUGGUACUGUUCCAAAACAAAAUUAGAGCAGAAUCACAUACUGGAGCCAUGUGACUUGCUAACAGGUGAACAAAACUCUGUAACCAACUUGGCAUUGGUGAGCACAGGAACGUAGCCCCCGCUCCCACAACAAAUCAUGAAUCACCAGGAUGACUGUAAUGGCUUGUCAUUGUUAUUUUCAGCUGGCAGGACUGUACAGCCCAAACGUCCCAAUGCGUGACAGUGGACUAUAAAAGUCUUGGAUAGUGGGCAUGGUGAAUCAAAUAAGUAUCUGAGACUCAACAAAUACCACAUAGCUCUCAUUUAUCAUAUAGGCAAAAAACAACAACAGCACAGCCAAGAAGCCAGCAAUUUAUGUUAAUUUUAUACCAAGCUACUGGCUGUAGUACCUAUGUACAGGCUUGAUCCUACCCUCC